rnacentral:rRNA from 1 species
UACGAAGGGUGCAAGCGUUACUCGGAAUUACUGGGCGUAAAGCGUGCGUAGGUGGUUUGUUAAGUCUGAUGUGAAAGCCCUGGGCUCAACCUGGGAAUUGCAUUGGAUACUGGCAGGCUAGAGUGCGGUAGAGGAUGGCGGGAAUUCCCGGUGUAGCAGUGAAAUGCGUAGAGAUCGGGAGGAACAUCUGUGGCGAAGGCGGCCAUCUGGACCAGCACUGGACACUGAGGCACGAAAGCGUGGGGAGCAAACAGG